rnacentral:rRNA from 1 species
UACGGAGGGUGCAAGCGUUAUCCGGAUUUACUGGGUUUAAAGGGUGCGUAGGCGGGCCUUUAAGUCAGUGGUGAAAUCUCCCCGCUCAACGGGGAAACUGCCAUUGAUACUAUUGGUCUUGAAUUUAGUUGAGGUGGGCGGAAUGUGUCGUGUAGCGGUGAAAUGCUUAGAUAUGGCACAGAACACCGAUUGCGAAGGCAGCUCGCUAAACUAAUAUUGACGCUGAGGCACGAAAGCGUGGGGAUCAAACAGG